CCCUAAGACCCAACGGGGUGCCUAUACAUGCAGUCGAGCGAAUGGAUUAAGAGCUUGCUCUUAUGAAGUUAGCGGCGGACGGGUGAGUAACACGUGGGUAACCUGCCCAUAAGACUGGGAUAACUCCGGGAAACCGGGGCUAAUACCGGAUAACAUUUUGAACCGCAUGGUUCGAAAUUGAAAGGCGGCUUCGGCUGUCACUUAUGGAUGGACCCGCGUCGCAUUAGCUAGUUGGUGAGGUAACGGCUCACCAAGGCAACGAUGCGUAGCCGACCUGAGAGGGUGAUCGGCCACACUGGGACUGAGACACGGCCCAGACUCCUACGGGAGGCAGCAGUAGGGAAUCUUCCGCAAUGGACGAAAGUCUGACGGAGCAACGCCGCGUGAGUGAUGAAGGCUUUCGGGUCGUAAAACUCUGUUGUUAGGGAAGAACAAGUGCUAGUUGAAUAAGCUGGCACCUUGACGGUACCUAACCAGAAAGCCACGGCUAACUACGUGCCAGCAGCCGCGGUAAUACGUAGGUGGCAAGCGUUAUCCGGAAUUAUUGGGUGUAAAGCGCGCG
rnacentral:rRNA from 1 species